rnacentral:lncRNA from 1 species
GGAAUAGGGAGAGCCAGCAGGAAACUGGCUGCCUGGCAAAACCCAUGGUGACCAUCAGUAGAAAUGGAGAUGUGAUCACUAUAAAAAUGAAAAGCAUCUUUAAAAAUAAUGAGAUUGCUUUUAAACCUAGAAAAGUGUGAGGAAACCACACCAGGUGGCCAUAAAAUCAAGAGUACCAUAACCUUAGAUAAUGACUCCCUGAUUCAGGUUCAGGACUGGGAUCACAAGGAGACCUCAUUGGGAGAAAGUUGGUGGGUGAGAAGAUGGGGGUGGAAAGUGCCGUGAGCAAUAUUACCUGUGCUCAGAUAUAGGGGAGAGAAUG